GCCCGCAUGGCUCAGUGGUAGAGCGUGUCACUCGUAUUCUUCAAUGACAAGGUCGCUAGUUCGAUUCUGGCUGUGGGCA
rfam:Madurella mycetomatis strain mm55 MMYC01_Sc2036, whole genome shotgun sequence.